rnacentral:RNase_P_RNA from 1 species
UACAUAUAGACAAACGCUGGAAUCUUUAAGAUUCUUGAGGAAAGUCCAUGCUAGCACAGACCUGUAAUGGCUGUAGUGUUCGUGUUCAGGGAACAAAUAACCUGGAGUAGCAAUUGCUAACGGCGGUUAAUAAACCUAAGUUUUUUUAAUAUGGUUUAACCGUAAAGUGCCGCAGUGACGAUGCUUUUGGAAACGAAAGAGUGAAACGAGGUAAACCCCGCGAGCUAGAAACCCAAAUUUGGUAGGGGAGUCUUAACGAAAGAAUUAUAAUGGAGUUAAGGACUGGGAAACUGGUAGAUAAAUGUUUGUCGCUCCGCAAGGAGACAGAACAUGGCUUAUUUAU